UACGUAGGGGGCAAGCGUUAUCCGGAAUCAUUGGGCGUAAAGCGUACCGAUAGGUUGUUUUACAAGUCAGGGGUGAAAUCUCAAGGCUCAACUUUGAGACUGUCUCUUGAAACUGUAAAACUAGAGGGGUAAAGAGGAAGCUGGAACGAACGGUGUAGUAGUGAAAUGCGUUGAUAUCGUUCGGAACACCGAUAGCGAAGGCAGGCUUCUGGGUACCACCUGACACUGCUAGGACGAAAGCGUGGGGAGCGAAUGGG
rnacentral:rRNA from 1 species